UCAAAAUUGGGGUUCAACCUUUUUAUAAAAUAUUACGUAUUGAGUAAGGAAUAAUGAGCACUGCAUCUAGGCUUGUAAUAAUCAUCCAACCACUGACAAGGGGAAAGGACACUGCAGCGCUUCCACUGAGGUGAAUUAAAAAAUACUAAAUAAUAAACAUUAUUUUUCUUAUUCAAAUUAUAAGUUUAAUACUUCUGACUUUUUUUUUUUUUUUUGAUAUCCAGGUAUCCUAUCUUACACCAAACUAAAUUCUGGACCUCCAAGACCCAUGCUCCUAGAAUCUUGGAGGGGGUAAAUUGCGAGUUAUGCCUCAACUGGAUCACAGGUUCACCCCAUUGACCGUACACUUCUGCGCACAAGAGACCCUCCUCCACAGUGAUUGCUCCAUACCAAAUUUUUGGCCACAGAUUCUCAUCAGGAAUCGAACUCUCCACCCUGUCGCUGGAAGCAAGCCAAUGUUGAUUGAUUCACCAGUUGAGCUGUUUCCCCGGGGCACUUCUGCCUAUUUAUAUAGAUGAGUUGGUGCCGCUUUAUUACUCCACGAGCCUUCAUUUCUAUAUUGUCUGUCCAACAACAGAGAAAAAGUCAAAACAUUGUAUAUACGUGGCUUCAUCCUCUUUAUCUCUCUUCUCUGCAAAUGCUAUUCAUUCAGAAAAUGUACCUCUUUUAUAAUUACUCUUAAUAGCUUACAGUUUUAUAUGUUAAUUAGGUUCCUCAAACCGUGUCUUUAAUUCAUACUUUUUCUAGUCUGCUACUUCGUAUUAAAAGGAUAGCCGUCUCACAUAUAGUCGCCUAGCGUUUUGGGUUUGGUCCCAAACGUUACAUGUUGCACUUGAGUUCUUAUUCAAGAAAUAGAUAAGAACUAGAAAUCCCUGGACCUAAGAACUAAUUCAAGCAAAAUAGUAUUUUAAUAAACACUAAGAAAUAAUUAAAAGCACAAUAUUGUUUAAAAAUGAAUUUAACAAACUGGACAUACAGAGUGUUGGGCUGUGAUGACCAAUGACCUUUUCUUUUUCUGGGCUGUGAUGACAAAUGGGCUAAAAGCCCAAUAACUGUUUUUUAACAAUUUAGGCUCUUGCCCAAUAACAUGACCCGAUCCGCCCCGGCCCAAUGGUAGAUAAAACGUGUUUUUGGGCGUGGCAUAAUUUAAUGCAGCCAAACACGCCUUAUUCAGUUAUAUGGAUGCCUCCUGACCGUCGGAUUGAAACUUGAUCUAAGGGUGCCUUUGUUGGAUAUAAAUACUUGGCCCCUUUUGCCCUAAUUCAUUUGGACCGUCAUUUUUUCUCUUCUCUCCAGCUGCGGCUGAGGUUCGAGAGUCUUCCAAACCCUCUCUUCUUCUUCGUGAGAAUCCAAUCUCUGAUUGGAUCUGGUUUCUGUGUGAUUCCAUCUUCGUGUUCCUUAAUACUGUGUGUAUUGGAGAGUUUGGUGUGUGAUUUUACCCCUUGUGGUUUCCUUUAACUGAUAAAGGAAAACCUUAGGGUUUGGGGCGAUCGGUGUGGGUCAUACAGAAGGGUACAAUCCUGUAUUUUCUUGAGUCUGAGCCCUAUUCAUGAAAGGAACUUCAUCUUGAUGUAGUGUGGUUUGAGUUCUCGAUGAAGACUGGAGGAUUUAAUUUUCUGCCUCUUUUUCUUGUAACCUUUCUUGUUCAUUAUUUUGUGAUUUUGUACUGAUAGAUUGUUGUAACAGUGGUAUCAGAGCCUUCGUCUGGCUCGUGUGGGUGAAUCGAACCACAUCCUUACCAGUUGCAGUGGAUCUGGUAAAAUCGUUUUAGGCUCAAAACCCUAGAUCUUGAGUUCUUUGUGAUAAAUCUCUAUUUCUUGAUGAAACACUGCUUCGGUGAUAUGAGUUGUUCGAACUUGGGUAAUACUUGACUGCCUCUUCGUGGAACUGUGUGUGGUCAAGUGUAACGACCACCAUUGUGGUUUUAACUCUUGAACUUAAAUCUUUACUGCCUUAUUUCAUCGUUUACAUGUUUUAGUUGACUGAUAUUCUCUGUUGAUUGCUUUGUGAAUUUGGAAUUUCGUACUUAAGCAAUAAACUGUCUAUACUUGUUUUGUUAAGAGUAAUACAGUGUGCUUGUGUACUUAGCCUGAAAUCUGCCUAUAUUCAUCUGGUAAAAGUAUACUUGAGUUUAGUUACUGAUCCUUGAUGUACUUGAAUAUUGUAGCAGUUUGUUCUGUUCUUAUAUUCUGUACUAAUUUCUCUCCUAAUUUUUUUUUUUGUAUCAAAUAAAACCUCUACCCUUCACCCAAGCCUUGACCUGAGAUCUUGAGUCUCAAGGAAUCCUGGUAGGGCAGGGUAGUUGAUUUCUUUAACUUGAUAUUGGAGACAGUGUGUAUUUUUUAAAAUUGUUAUUUCCGCACUUACACACAUUAUGUUGCUUUGCCUGUGUUAUGAAGAAUCUCUGUUUCUCAUCUGUAUGUUGUGAUCAAAUCAGAAAUUACUGAGUGUGACUUGUUUGAUCUAGAAAAUGACUUCCACUAGUUUUGAACUUGGGGUCUUUAAUGGGAAGGGAGAUUUUCCUAUAUGGCAGCAAAAAAUGAGAGGGGUUUUAGUACAACAGAAAGUCUCUAAGGCAAUAACAGGAGAGUUUCCUGAAACAAUGACACAAGAUCAGAAAACUGAAUCAGAUGAUUUAGCCUAUACCUCAAUUAUUCUCCACCUAUCUGACCAAGUUCUAAGGAAGGUAGGGAAAUUAGAGAAUGCUCAGGCCUUAUGGGAGAAAUUAGAGGAAUUAUACUUAGUGAAAUCCUUACCUAAUAAACUCUUCCUUCUAGAAAGGUUUUUUAGUUUUAAGAUUGAUCCAACCAAAGACCUGGAUGAUAAUCUUGAUAUCUUUAAUAAAUUGGUACAAGAUAUCACCAAUGCAGGGGAUAAAAUUUCUGAAGAAUAUAAAGCAGUAAUACUUCUUAAUGCUAUACCCGAUGCAUAUAGGGACGUCAAAUCUGCCAUUAAGUAUGGCAGAGAUACUUUGACUCCAGAAGUUGUUAUAAAUUCCAUAAGAAGUAAAGAAUUGGAACUUAAAACUGAAAAACAUGGGAAGGAACAUGAGAGUUUGUACAUAAGGGGAAGGCAACCAAAUCGGCAAAAUAAUAACUAUCCAAAUCAAAACAAUCCUGGAAACAGUAAUAGGAAGAAGUUCAGGAGUAAAUCAAGAUCUAAAUCAAAAUCUAGAAAUAACAGAAAGUGCUAUGGCUGUGGUAAGCUUGGUCAUUACAUAAAAGACUGCUAUAACAAGAAAAUUGAACCUAAAGAGAAGAAUGUUGAUGAGGGGAAUGUAGUUGAGCCUGCUGAGCCUAAUACAGUUGAUGUAUAUGUGGUGGCUCAGCAACCUGACCUGGAAGUGGCUAAUUAUGCCCACAACAGAUAUGUACAUGAGUGGAUUUUGGACUCAGGCUGCACCUUUCAUAUUACACAUGAAAGGGCCUGGCUUCAAGAUUUUAAAAGGCUAGCUGGUGGUGAAGUAGUGAUGGGAAAUAAUAUAGCCUGCAGAGUUGAAGGGUUAGGAAAUGUGACCCUAAAAUUUGAAAAUGGAUACAUGUAUACCCUAGAGAGAGUCAGAUAUGUCCCUGAACUCAAAAGAAAUCUGAUAUCUAUGGGAGAAUUAGAUGACCUAGGGCUGUGUGGUAGGAUUGGAGAUGGAUUGAUGAAAGUGAUCAAGGGAUCUCUUGUCAUCUUUAAGGGUGUUAAGAAAAAUGGAAUCUAUGUAGUUAGAGCUGAAAUAAUACUUGAACAUAAUGCAACUAUCUCUAAUACUGAAUCUGAUUCCACCUUAAAAUGGCAUAAGAGGCUUGCACAUGUGGGUGAAAAAGGCCUCACAAUUCUACAAAAAGGGGGGGGGGGGUAUUUGGUAAGGACCAAAUAUCAAAAAUACCUUUCUGUGAAAGUUGCACCUUUGGCAAACAUCACAGACUCCAUUUUAAUUCUGGAAAACAUAAAACUACCUCUCCAUUGGAAUAUGUCCACUCUGAUUUGUGGGGUCCAGCCUCCACAACUACUCCGGGGGGGAAUAAGUAUUUCCUCUCUAUAAUAGAUGACUUUUCAAGAAAGGUGUGGGUGUUUCUUUUAAAGCACAAAUCUGAAACCUUUGAAAAGUUUAAAAGCUGGAAAGUCCUUAUUGAAAAUCAAAUGUCUACAAAGAUUAAAAUUUUGAGAACUGAUAAUGGACUUGAAUUUUGCAACUCAGAAUUUGAUAAACUUUGUGAAUCAAAUGGAAUCCUAAGACACAAAACUGUCCCAUACACACCUCAACAGAAUGGGGUGGCUGAGAGAAUGAAUAGGACCUUGUUGGAUAAGGUUAGAUGUAUGAUGGUAGGAUCUGGAGUUCCUAAGGUGCUGUGGGGGGAGGCUGUUAUGACAGCUACAUAUAUAGUGAAUAGAACCCCUUCAAGUGCUUUGGAAGGUAAGACACCUGAAGAUAAGUGGUCUGGGAAAGUACCAGACUAUUCCCACCUUAGAAUAUUCGGGUGUACAGCUUAUUGUCACCAGAAUUUGGGGAAACUGGAGCCAAGGGCUCAGAAAUGCGUGUUCUUAGGUUAUCCUGAAGGAAUUAAAGGCUAUAGGUUAUGGGCUAGAGGUCAAGGGGGGUAUAAAAUGAUAACUAGUAGAGAUGUUACCUUCAAUGAAGAUGAGAUGCCCUGUUUAGAAAAACAAAAGUCUGCAGACCCUGAAAAUCCAAAUGUGACAAGGUUUCAGGUGGAGUUGGGAUCUCAAACUGAUUCUGUUCCUAAUAAUAUGAAUGAACCCACACUAUCUCAAACUCAAACUGAAUUAGAAAAUUCAGGUGUAGAGGAACAUGAACAAACUGAAAUGGAUGAUCCCAGUCAACAAAGUGAUCUUAGUGACUAUCAAUUGACUAGGGAUAGACCUAGAAGGAACAUAGAGAACCUACAAGAUAUGAAGACUAUCUAUCCUAUUCUGUCAUGUCUUAUAAUGACCUAGCCUAUAAGGAACCCAAGACCUAUAAUGAAGCCAUGAGUUGUAACCAGUCUGGCAAGUGGGAAGUUGCCAUGAGAGAAGAGAUGAGUUCUCUAAUGAAGAAUAAAACUUGGGAUCUUGUGCCUAGACCCAAAAAUAAAUCCAUAGUUGAUUGCAAAUGGAUUUAUAAGGUGAAAGAAGGCAGUUCAGAAAAUGAGCCUGUGAGAUUUAAAGCAAGAUUAGUUGCCAAAGGAUUUACACAAAAACAGGGUGUAGAUUACAAUGAGAUAUUUUCACCCGUUGUAAAAUACACAACCAUAAGAGUCCUACUAGCAUUAGUUGCACAUCACAAUUGGGAAUUAGAACAAAUGGAUGUAAAAACAGCCUUCUUACAUGGUGAUUUAGAUGAGACAAUUUAUAUGUCACAACCUGAAGGUUUUGUGAAUAAAUCUAAAUCUGACUUUGUGUGCUUGCUUAAGAAAUCCUUAUAUGGUUUAAAACAGUCCCCUCGACAAUGGUAUAAAAGGUUUGACACUUUUGUCAUGACUGUUGGUUUUGUAAGAAGCUCUUAUGAUUAUUGCCUUUACUUUAAGAAAGAUUCAGAUUCUUCAAUAUCAAUUUUUCUGUUACUCUAUGUUGAUGAUAUGCUUUUGAUUGGGCCUGAUUUAAAACAGAUAAAUGAUAUUAAAGAUAUCCUUGGUGCUGAAUUUGAAAUGAAAAACUUGGGGCAUGCUAAAAGGAUAUUGGGAAUGGAUAUACUUAGAAAAAGAGCACAAUCUAUUUUGAUUUUGAAACAAUCAGCUUAUAUAGAAAAAGUUUUAUCCAAGUUUUCAAUGCAUGAAUCAAAAUCUGUGUCAUUGCCUUUAGCUAGUCAUUUCAAAUUAAGUAAAGAGCAAUGCCCAAUUGAUGAAUCUGAUAUAAGAUACAUGGAAAAGGUUCCAUAUGCUAAUGCUGUAGGGUCUAUAAUGUAUACCAUGGUCUGUACCAGACCUGAUGUGGCUCAUGCAAUCAGCACUUUAAGUAGAUUUAUGGCUAAUCCUGGUCCCGAACAUUGGGAAGCACUUAAGUGGUUACUUAGGUACUUGAAAGGCACAUCUAGUAUAGGAUUAAUAUAUAAAAGGGGGAAUGAAGGAAUGAUACUUAAAGGCUUUGUGGAUGCUGAUUUUGCUGGUGAUAGGGACCAUAGAAAGUCCACUUCUGCCUAUAUGUUCACACUUUGUGGCACCUGUGUGAGUUGGAAGUCUCAAUUACAGCCUAUAGUUGCCUUAUCAACCACAGAAGCCGAGUAUGUAGCUGCCACAGAAGCUGUGAAGGAAGCUUUGUGGCUUAAGGGACUAUUAUCUGAAAUUAGGAUGCUAAAUGAACCUGUAAUUGUUUAUUCAGAUAGCCAAAGUGCAAUACACUUGUGUAAGAAUCCUGUUUUUCAUGAAAGAACCAAACACAUAGAUGUAAAGUUACAUUUUAUUAGAGAUGUUGUCUCAAAUGAAUGUGUUCUUCUUGAAAAAAUUCCUACACAGUACAAUCCAUCAGACAUGGGGACAAAGGUAUUGCCUCUUUCUAAGUUUAAAUCAUGUUUGGCACUAUUGAAUAUUGAUACAGGUUAAUCCUUUAAAUGCAGGUACAACUUGGUGUCAAUAGGAGGGCUGCAAGUGCUCAGAAAUCCCAUUGGCAUCAAGGUGGAGGUUGUUGGGCUGUGAUGACCAAUGACCUUUUCUUUUUCUGGGCUGUGAUGACAAAUGGGCUAAAAGCCCAAUAACUGUUUUUUAUCAAAUUAGGCUCUUGCCCAAUAAAAUGACCCUUUUGCCCUAGAGUCAUUGAACCGUCAUUUUUUCUUCUCUCCAGCUGCGGCUGAGGUUCC
rnacentral:lncRNA from 1 species